rnacentral:rRNA from 1 species
GACGUAGGGCGCGAGCGUUGUCCGGAUUUAUUGGGCGUAAAGAGCUUGUAGGCGGUUUGUCGCGUCUGCUGUGAAAAUCCGGGGCUCAACCCCGGACUUGCAGUGGGUACGGGCAGGCUAGAGUGUGGUAGGGGAGACUGGAAUUCCUGGUGUAGCGGUGAAAUGCGCAGAUAUCAGGAGGAACACCGAUGGCGAAGGCAGGUCUCUGGGCCACUACUGACGCUGAGAAGCGAAAGCAUGGGGAGCGAACAGG